UUCUGGCUCAGGAUGAACGCUGGCGGCGUGCCUAAUACAUGCAAGUCGUACGAGGGAAGUCCAGCUUGCUGGACGGAACGAGUGGCGAACGGGUGAGUAAUACGUAAGCAACCUGCCUGCAAGGACUGGGAUAACACCUGGAAACGGGCGCUAAUACCGGAUAGGUAACAAAGGGGCAUCCCUAUGUUAUUAAAGGUUAGAAACACAAGCAGAUGGGCUUACGGUGCAUUAGCUAGUUGGUGAGGUAACGGCCUACCAAGGCGAUGAUGCAUAGCCGGCCUGAGAGGGUGAACGGCCACAUUGGGACUGAGACACGGCCCAGACUCCUACGGGAGGCAGCAGUAGGGAAUUUUCGGCAAUGGACGAAAGUCUGACCGAGCAACGCCCGCGUGAGUGAAGAAGGUUUUCGGAUUGUAAAGCUCUGUUGUAAGGGAAGAACAGCACGGAAAGAAUCCGUGAAUGACGGUACCUUACCAGAAAGCCACGGCUAACUACGUGCCAGCCGCGGC
rnacentral:rRNA from 1 species